UCAGGAAUUCCGAUCGUGUGUACGGGGCAUAAUACAGAAGCCUGGAAGUUAGGGAGCGAAUGAAUUUUCCUAACUGAAUGAACUGUUUUUUGUAAAUUAGUAAAAUAUUAAAGUGUAUGCAAAGCCAAUAUUUUAGUUUUGGAUAGGGUGCGACAGUGUUAAAAUCGCAUUGUUUUUGCCCCUCCACCCGAGAGAUUUGCCUUCUAUAUCUAUCCUGGUGAUCAUUGUCUUCAGUACAAAAGUAGGGAAUCCACACAGGAACAGGAACAGGAAAUGGGUAGAACUCUUUAAAUGAGAACACCUGCUUUUCACAACUGUGUGGUGAGGGGAUUUCCACUUGCAUUGGAGAGUUUUCCUCUUAGUUGCUGUUGCAUCUCGGGGACUAAACAUUGCAGGGAAAUCACUGUGAUGGGACACACAGAAAAAACACAAACCUGACAGGGUCUUAAACAUUUCAUACGCUAUCCAAAAUACACACACACAAAAGUCUUGACUUUACAUACAUUUUAAUAUUGUAUUUGACUCAAGUUACCCUAGGUUCAAGUAUGUUAGUACUGACCUUCUGGAUGUCAUAGAAUUCUUUUUUUUUUUUAGAUCAUUUUAUGCAUACAACGGUUGAAAUAUACAAAUACGUGUACUAAUCUCAUCAAAAAGACAUUAGCUAUUUAACAAGUUUUAUAAGAGCAACUCACACAGAAACGUAUAUACCAUGCAAGAUUUAUUGUUUUCUAAUUAUUAAAGCAAUUACUAUUGUA